UAAGGGUGAAAAGGUGGGGUAAGAGCCCACCAGCGUCGUGGCGACACGGCGGCUAGCCAAACCCCGUCCGGUGCAAGGCAAACAGGUCCCGCCAUCAGGCGGCCCGCCGAGGGACCGGGUUGCUGCAAAGAGGGAUGGUCACCACAAACAGAAUCCGGCUUACAGGCCUGCUACGGAA
rnacentral:RNase_P_RNA from 1 species